rnacentral:rRNA from 1 species
AACGAACGCUGGCGGCAUGCCUAACACAUGCAAGUCGAACGAGACCUCCGGGUCUAGUGGCGCACGGGUGCGUAACGCGUGGGAACCUGCCCUUAGGUUCGGAAUAACUCCCCGAAAGGGGUGCUAAUACCGGAUAAUGUCUUCGGACCAAAGAUUUAUCGCCUUUGGAUGGGCCCGCGUUGGAUUAGCUAGUUGGUAGGGUAAAAGCCUACCAAGGCGACGAUCCAUAGCUGGUCUGAGAGGAUGAUCAGCCACACUGGGACUGAGACACGGCCCAGACUCCUACGGGAGGCAGCAGUGGGGAAUAUUGGACAAUGGGCGAAGGCCUGAUCCAGCAAUGCCGCGUGAGUGAUGAAGGCCUUAGGGUUGUAAAGCUCUUUUACCCGGGAUGAUAAUGACGGUACCGGGAGAAUAAGCACCGGCUAACUCCGUG